rnacentral:rRNA from 1 species
CGCGUAGGCGGCCUCCUAAGUCGGACGUGAAAUCCCCGAGCUCAACUCGGGAACUGCGUCCGAUACUGGUUGGCUUGAAUCCGGGAGAGGGAUGCGGAAUUCCAGGUGUAGCGGUGAAAUGCGUAGAUAUCUGGAGGAACACCGGUGGCGAAGGCGGCAUCCUGGACCGGCAUUGACGCUGAGGUGCGAAAGCCAGGGGAGCAAACG